UCCGUCCGGUGCCAGCGCCCGAGCCCGGCUGUGCCCGCCGGGAGGGGCCGGGGCAUGCGGGGCUGCUGCGGCCGGGCUGCCCCACCUGGGGGGCCAGGUGAGGGGAUGCCGGCCAGGUGAGGGGGAUGCUGGCCAGGACUAUAAUCAUUUUGUGUCACUGGUCACCCCUCUGACAGCUUUUGGUUCUCAGCGCUACCAAGUGGAAGAAAA